UACAGAGGUCUCAAGCGUUGUUCGGAUUCAUUGGGCGUAAAGGGUGUGUAGGUGGCGCCGUAAGUCGGGUGUGAAAUUUCGGAGCUUAACUCCGAAACUGCAUUCGAUACUGCGGUGCUUGAGGACUGGAGAGGAGACUGGAAUUCAUGGUGUAGCAGUGAAAUGCGUAGAUAUCUGGAGGAACACCGGUGGCGAAGGCGGCAUCCUGGACCGGUAUUGACACUGAGGCGCGAAAGCCAGGGGAGCAAACGGG
rnacentral:rRNA from 1 species